rnacentral:rRNA from 1 species
UGCGUAGGCGGCCCGGUAAGUUGGGUGUGAAAUCCCACGGCUCAACCGUGGAAUUGCGCCCAAAACUGUCGGGCUUGAGGGAGAUAGAGGUAAGCGGAACUUAGGGUGGAGCGGUGAAAUGCGUUGAUAUCCUAAGGAACACCGGUGGCGAAAGCGGCUUACUGGGUCUCUUCUGACGCUGAGGCACGAAAGCUAGGGGAGCGAACGGGAUUAGAUACCCCGGUAGUCCUAGCCGUAAACGAUGAGCACUAGAUCGGAGGGUACUCCAUAGCCUUCUGGUCGUAGCGAAAGUGUUAAGUGCUCCGCCUGGGGAGUAUGGUCGCAAGGCUGAA